rnacentral:rRNA from 1 species
GAUGAACGCUAGCGGCAGGCCUAACACAUGCAAGUCGAGGGAGAGGUUACCUUCGGGUAACCAAAACCGGCGCACGGGUGCGUAACGCGUAUACAAUCUGCCUUUCACAUAGGGAUAGCCCGAAGAAAUUUGGAUUAAUACCUAAUGGUAUAUAAGAGCGGCAUCGUUUUUAUAUUAAAGCUACGGUGGUGAAAGAUGAGUAUGCGUUCUAUUAGCUAGUUGGAGAGGUAACGGCUCCCCAAGGCGACGAUAGAUAGGGGUUCUGAGAGGGAUGUCCCCCACACUGGUACUGAGAUACGGACCAGACUCCUACGGGAGGCAGCAGUGAGGAAUAUUGGACAAUGGUCGGCAGACUGAUCCAGCCAUGCCGCGUGCAGGAUGAAGGUCCUAUGGAUUGUAAACUGCUUUUGUAAGGGAAGAAUAAGGAGUACGUGUACUUUGAUGACGGUACCUUACGAAUAAGCAUCGGCUAACUCCGUG